UUGUCUCAAAGAUUAAGCCAUGCAUGUCUAAGUACGAGCCGUUUUACGGCGAAACCGCGAAUGGCUCAAUAAAUCAGUUAUGGUUCCUUAGCUAAACCUCAUUACUUGGAUAACUGUGGUAAUUCUAGAGCUAAUACAUGCUACUCAAUUUCGACGGUGCGAACCGAAGAAAGGCUUUUAUUAGACCAAAACCAGUACGGCCCUUAAAAAGCCGUCUAUUAUGGUGACUCUGGAUAACUUCAGCGGAUCGCACGGCUUCGAGCCGGCGACGAGUCUUUCAAAUGUCUGCCUUAUCAACUGUCGAUGGUACGUUACGCGCGUACCAUGGUCGCAACGGGUAACGGGGAAUCGGGGUUCGAUUCCGGAGAGGGAGCCUGAGAAACGGCUACCACAUCCAAGGAAGGCAGCAGGCGCGCAAAUUACCCACUCCCGGCACGGGGAGGUAGUGACGAAAAAUAACGAUACGGGACUCUUCCGAGGCCCCGUGAUUGGAAUGAGUUGAAUUUAAAUCCUACUACGAGGAACGAUUGGAGGGCAAGUCUGGUGCCAGCAGCCGCGGUAACUCCAGCUCCAAUAGCGUAUAUUAAAGUUGUUGCGGUUAAAAAGCUCGUAGUCGGAAUUUUGGCGGUGCGGGGUAAUUGACUGAGGCCUACGGGCUUUAGUUUAUCUUUCCUUGGCCUGGACGGGGUGACCCGCCUUCGGUCUUAGCCGCGCCGCCGUCAGCCGUUUGGCUUCACCGGGUGCCCUUCAAAAGGUGUCUGUGAAAGCUACGGCGCGAUUCACUUUGAACAAAUUAGAGUGCUCAAAGCAGGCUAACUUAGCCGGAAUAUCUCAGCAUGGAAUGAUGGAAAAUGUACCGUGGCCGAUUUUUUUACUGGCUUCACUUCCACGGUAAAUGGUCGAUAGAAACGGACGGGGGCAUCCGUACCGCGGCGAUAGAGGUGAAAUUCUUGGACCGCCGCGAGACGAACGACUGCGAAGGCAUUUGCCAAGAAUGCUUUCAUUGAUCAAGAACGAAAGUUAGAGGUUCGAAGGCGAUCAGAUACCGCCCUAGUUCUAACCAUAAACGAUGCCGACCGGCGAUCCGCCGGUGUUACUCCCAUGACUCGGCGGGCGGCUUCCGGGAAACCACGAGUGUUCGGGUUCCGGGGGAAGUAUGGUUGCAAAGCUGAAACUUAAAGGAAUUGACGGAAGGGCACCACCAGGAGUGGAGCCUGCGGCUUAAUUUGACUCAACACGGGAAACCUCACCAGGCCCGGACACUGUAAGGAUGGACAGAUUGAGAGCUCUUUCUUGAUUCGGUGGGUGGUGGUGCAUGGCCGUUCUUAGUUGGUGGAGCGAUUUGUCUGGUUAAUUCCGAUAACGAACGAGACUCUAUCCUAUUAACUAGAUUUUCGGUUUUUCAUUUGGGGGGGGUGUUAAAGCCUUUCCCGAUUAUAUUUGAGUUUGUGAAAGUCGGGGAAUCUGGAGUGCGGUUUUUCUGUUUUGCGGGUGGCGGCGUUCGCGCGUCGUCUUCCGUUCGAUGAGAGAGCCGUGCUUCCCCUCGGCUGACACGAGCUCGCGCCGGAAAGAUACCUUCUUAGAGGAAUAAGCGGCGUCCAGCCGCGUGACAGUGAGCAAUAACAGGUCUGUGAUGCCCUUAGAUGUCCUGGGCCGUACGCGCGCUACACUGAAGGCAGCAGCGCGUCACAUCCCCCGGUCGGAGACGAUCGGGUAACCGCUGAACCGCCUUCGUGGUUGGGAUUGGGGACUGCAAUGAUCCCCACGAACCAGGAAUCCCUAGUAGGCGCGGGUCACUAGCCCGCGUCGAUUACGUCCCUGCCCUUUGUACACACCGCCCGUCGCUACUACCGAUUGAAUGAUUUAGUGAGGACUUUGGACGAUUCUGUUGGUGGAGCGCGAGCUUUACGGACGGGAAUGAAAAAUGUCCGAACUUGAUCCUUUAGAGGAAGUAAAAGUCGUAACAAGGUUUCCGUAGGUGAACCUGCAGAUGGAUCAGUUA
rnacentral:rRNA from 1 species